rnacentral:rRNA from 1 species
GAGAGUUUGUGCGGGUUGUUGUUCCUGAUGGAAAAGCUGUAGAUGCAAUGGUUCCAUAAACUGUGAAAAGGACUUCCACUCCCCUCAAUGGGACGGAACAUGAGAUACGUGCACUUCCAAUUUUGCAGUUUACUGUCUUGUAAUUGUCCUAUCUUUACCUGGUUGUAACAAAAUGCAUUCACGCUAAGUUUUUUUUUGUACUUUUCAUGCUAACUUAAAAAAAACAGUAGUUAACCAAAAUUGAUUGAACAUGAGGAAUGAAGUGAGAUUGAGAAAUCUAAAGGCUAAGAACUGGUAGGGAGUGAUUAGUUAGUAGUACCUGCACCCAUUGGCUUCGUAAAUUAAUUCAAUGCCAAGAAGGCAUGGGCAAUGCUAUUUUGGUUUCUUUGUAGCUUCGUCACAUUACAAUAUUAUUUCUGUAAUUGUAUCACUGUUUUUGGAAUUUUAUGUAUUGUGGUAUCGUCACAUCCAUAUAAUGUACCCAGGCAACGUAGUCACAUCCAUAUAAUGUACCCAGGCAACGUAGUUUCUUGACGAGUAAACUAUAAGUUACUGGAAUUUUGUGUUUGAUGUAUGUCCAGUGUCAACAUAGGAUUCUUAUGUCACAAAAAUGUGAUUCUGAAAUAAUUACCAGAUUUUGAUCAUAAACUUUGUUACUACACCACUUAUCAUAUAUACCAUGACUACUAUGGUCAUUUCCAAUCAGUUUUUGAUCUUCUCCAAUUUGCCAAAAGGUGAAAUUCUAAUUUGUUGUUAACAAUGGUCUGAUGUGUUUCAUCUUGCUACUUUUGUUUAGAUUAUGGCUUUGUUUUAAGCUACGCUGUCGUGGUUCUAGUAAAAUAUUAUCAGCUCCUUUUCUUCUGUUGAUUGGUGUCAUUAUCUCAAUGCAGGUAAACAUAGAUGAGGGGGAAAGCUUCAUCCUCUGUCUUCUCCCCCUCACUAUUUGCCUGCUGAGAACGCUGGAGGGCAUUCUUUACCAAAUAAGCUGCGUAGUCUAUCAUCUGAAGGGUUUGUUCAACUGUUAUCGGCUAUUUUUAGGAUAGUUCUGGUACAUCUGCUGCAAGCAGCUGAAGUUAAAAAAAUAGUUCAGUGGAUCACGAGAAACCUUGAUGGGAACAUGAGUUCUGAUGACACAAAUCCUGUCAUACAACAUGGUGGAUCAGUUGACUUUUCCCAAGGGAAUGACAACGGUGUUACUUCACGGGUCUCCAAUACUGUUACAUGCAGUACUACUAAGCUUCCAUUGUUUGAAGGAAAAGCAACUGAUAUGUCCAGUACAAAUUCAAUAAAAAAAAUGCUCGAGCUGAUAUGUUGAGAGAAAGCACAGAAGCAGUUUUUGCUGCAUGUGAUGCUGCACAUGGACGAUGGGCUAAGCUGAUAGGUGUUCGUGCUGAUCUACAUCCCAAGUUGAGGAUUCUUGAGUUCCUGAUCAUCCAUAAUACACCCUCUGUUUCUAAAUAUAAGAUGUCCCGCUGGUUCCAUUUAAUCUGUCAAAACGCCUUAUAUUUAGGAACGGAAGUAGUAUAAAAGAAGAAUCUAUAGCUGGUACAGAAAAGGUUAUUAAUUUUCUGUUUAAAUAAUAUGCACAGACACAUAUUAGUUUCAUAAAAGCAAGUUAUGAUAUUAUCUUAACCUCUUGUCCUCAUAGAUUGGAGGCAGGUUAGGUUACAACAUUCGUGGACUAUCAGCAUAGUGUUCAGGUGGUUAUAUAUUGUUUUAUUGAAGUUUAUGAAAGCUUAAUCUACAGUCUUACAAUCGGAUCAUGGAACAAAGUUAGAAGCUUGUUUUAAAUUUUGUUAUUACAAGCAGCAGCUUAUAGAAUAAGUGCAGCAUCAUUUUGCCAGAAACAUGAAUGAGUAAUGAUGCUAUUUCUGGAGUAUAAAGCCCUCAGGCUUCUCCCUCAAUUAUAUAGCCUUAUGGAUGUACACCAACUUCAUUACAAUGCAGUUACUUUCUUCUGUUUUGCAAGCAAUAUUACCCAGACAGUAGUGGUAUCCACCAUCAAUCAAAGAACUUGAGGAUGAAAUGAUAGUGGAAUUAAGGAUAUAAAGGAUUAGGAAAUCUCUGAUCUUCAUAAUUACUUGAAUUAUCUUCAAAAAGUUUUAUGUUAGGGUUUUUUAAAUCGAAUUCUGAUAUUGAUUUUAGAUUGAUAUCAAUCUUAUUUUGUAGCUGAAUCCCGAAUUAUACAGUUUUUGUGCUCUAACAUUUAAUAUUCCUUUGAAGAUGACAAAAACUAUGGCAGUUCUUGACCAAGAGACGUGGGUUGCUGUUGACGUUCCUGAAGAAUUCCAAGUGAUUGUUUUGUCACUGCCAUCAACUGAGGUUCUUGUUAAUGAUGUUGAGAUGCCUAGCACUGGUAACAACUCAAAGCUCAGUGAGGAUGGAGUUUGUACAAGUCAAGAGUCGCAUAUUCAACUGAAAAUAAUGUUGAAAAUCACAGUGGAACAUCUAUGAGGUAUUUGUACCGUGUGCCUCUGAUUGAAGACAUGGUCAGAUCUAUGGUCACGCCUUGAACUCAUCAGUGAAGCACCCUUGCUCAUGCCUUGAACUCAUCAGUGAAGCACCCUUGUUAAAAAUACUUUCCAUGGAGGUAACAGGAAAAUCAGGAUCAUACUUUAUGGAUGUGGAUUUUUGGGGCAAUGAUGAUGUUUUUCUACUGGGCUUAUUCUGCGAGGAAUGAUGACAUAUUUGUUUUGUCUAGCAUAAAACCUGAAGCUGCAGAGGACUUAAACUGCCAUGGUGUGACAUAUUAUUGUUUGGCAAUAGUCACUGAGGUUUCUAUGGUUGAUGAAUACCAGAACAGCUUCAGAGUCAAAGUUGCAAAGAAUAUUGGUCUGGACGAAGACUUAAACAAACUCGAACAUGCAAUAUUUCUCAAUAAUAUCACAAUAAACGUACGGAUAUGGAAAGCACUUACCUGCAAAACGCACAUGAAUGACAAUUUCACACUAAUCAAGUCCCUCUUAGCCCCCACAAAUCUGGGUGAGGAUGUUUGUGGUAUCUGUGUUAAACAGGAUGGAGUCUGUUUGGCUUCUUUCGCAGAGACAUCCGGAAAUUAUUGGGCGAGGAUGCUACUGAAUCUGUGAUCUCAGCUGUAAGAUGUGGGCGUGUGAAGUGUAUAUGGGGUCCACCAGGUAUGCAAAGAAGCUGGAUUCGUGACAAGUUUAUUUGAGAGAUUGGUUAUGCUCAAAUUUGAUAAACAUUUGUUGAAUAUACAGUAUCACAUGAAUCCUUCUGUUAGCUUAUUUCCAAGUGCUAUGAGAGGAAGAUUUUAGAUGGUUCCAUUGUCAUGUCUCCUAGUUGUGAUAAGGAUUACACAUGCGUCCCUUUUGUCAGCUACACGUUUCUAAAUGUCACUGAUGGAAGAGAAGACGAAGAGGGCGCAUGAAGCAGUCGUAGAAACAUGGUUAAAGUUGCUGUUGUUUGCAACUAAUCCAUUCCAUCUUUAAAUGUUGGAUAAGGACAGACCAAGGGCUCAGCAUAGUCCACGGUCUCUCCAUAUAUUGCUCAAGUUGAUGCAAUUAAAAGUCGACCUGCCAAAAAAUAUGACACAUAUGAUGGCUUUCAUGUGCGGGUGAAGUCCAUUGAUGAUUUCCAAGGAGAAGAUGAUACAUCAAUACAAUCAACUGUUAAGAGAGGAGUUGUAGGAUUUCUUGCUGAUAACCAAAGAACAAAUGUUGCUCUUACUAGAGCAAGGCGUGCAUCAAUUUAUUCGGGACCCCUUGUUUUAUUGCUGCUCAAAGUAUGUCAGACCGAUUCUACAAAUUAUCAGGUGGAUGCUUUUUCAUGCACGUAAUGUCUUUGGAUUGUUGGGAAUGCUCAUACACUGUAUACAAGUGGGACUUAAAGGACAGACCUUGUUGCUGCAGAGAGAUGUAAAUGUGUUUUCAGUGCCACUAAUGAUGCAACCAUCUGUAAGUUGGUUCUGCAAGUAAAGCAAGAGCUUGAUGAACUUGACGAUCUUCUUAAUGCUGAUUCAGUGGGUUUCAGCCAUACCAGAUGGAAGUUAUUCAGUGAGGGACAAUUCGAUAUGGCUACCAUGUGCUUCGAGAAGGCUGGUGAUGCACACAGAGAAGUGCACAAGAGCUGCCGGACUUCUAGCCACGGCUGACCGUGUCAUCUCAACAAAUUUGGAGCUGGGCAAGGCUUCAUUGCAAACAACAUCAGAGAUUGACAGAGUCCAUGAAAGCUGCUAAUUGCUAUAUCAAAUUAGGUGACUACAAAAGAGCAGGUAUGGUCUAUAUGCAAAAAUGUGGUACUUCCAGUUCUGGACUUGAGGAUGCUGAUGAUUAUUUUGCUAUCGCUGAAUGCUGGUCGGAGGCAGUGGAGUGUUCUUCAAAGCUAAAUGUUACACCAAGUGUUUUCCAUGUGCUCGAAAGGAAAACAAUUAUGCAAUCUGGAGGAGGAACAUUUGCUUCAGAAUUCAAAAUCCUUGAGGUUUCUGCAAUUAGAACAAAGUAUCUGGAUAAUUGUGCUCAAGAUUAUUUUGAGCGUGUCGUCAUAAAGCAUAGGAUGGCUUUUAUUAAAGCUUUCAGCUCUAUGGAUCAUGUACGGACAUUCCUAAAUUCUACGAAUCUUGUUGAUGACUGUCGAGUUUAGAGAUGGAAAUGUAUAAUUUCCUAGAAGCUGCAGGAAUAGCAAAGCAUAAAGGAGAUGUCUUGCUGGAGGUAGACAUGCUCGAGAAGGCAGAUUUGUUUAAGGAUGCAACAGGGCGUCUCCAUAUCAUUGUGGAUUCUCUGUGGUCUUCAAAUGGUAGAGGUUGGCCUCCCAAAAGAUAUGCAGAAAAGUGACAGUUGCUUGCAAAAGCCAAAGAGAUGGCGAAAAAGGUCUUUCUACUGUUUUGUUUUGCGUGGAAGCUGAUGCACUGUCAGAUGUGAAUAAGUCUCUACCCAGUUUAAAUCGCACAUUGGUUGAGGGCAGAAAUGUCCAAACUAUUGGUUGAACUUGUUGCUUCCGGUUUGAUUCUUGAUGUUCAUCUUCAUUCUCGAGCCUCUGGAUACAAUAUAUAGAAUUAGGGCCAGGAUCUGAAUAUGAAAACAGUAGUAAAGAUAUGCUGGCCUCUAACCAGAUGUCACCCCAAACUCUGUUUUAUGUUUGGAAUCACUGGAAGUUGAUCAUAAUCAAAGUACUGUCUCAUCUUCGCCACACCGAUGGUCCAGAAUUAAAUGAUUAUGCAGUUAUGUAUGAAGAUCUUUGCGCCAAGUACUUUGGAUUGAGAAAAGAUGGUGAAGUUGACAGAUAUGUGGUGCUUAACAUCAAUGCAAGUUGGCUUUCUAUUGCUGGCAGAAAUUCUUUGCAGCAAGACGGCAACAGAUGUUUAUUGGGUGUCCCUCAGUGUCAUUCAUGUGCUCAGUGUUUCUGGAUGAAUGAGCUGUCUUCUGUUGGUUUCAGUGUACUUAAGAAGUUGGAGUCCGCUGUCGAAAUUUCUCUGAAGCCUGCAUCUUCAUAUACACUGGUGAGAACUAUCCUUAUCAUAAAUGAGAUAGCAAAGUUAUUCGAAGAACCACAGUUCAGUAUUCCAAAAAGUUCUAAGAAGUUCAGAAGCUUUUUUAUUCUCUGUGAGUGUCGCUUCUUCGAGUUAGUUUUCCUUGUGUGGAGAGAUGGGACAAUGGGGAGCCUCUUGUGUCUACUUGACUCACCAGCUGCAUAUGAAUUGAUUGCUGAUUCUCUUAGUGCAAAUCUUUGCCCGGUAAAUAAAAACUUAACUCAUGGGCAUCUUGGGAGAACAACCAUGCUUGUGCUUCAUGCAGCACACUUGGGCGAAGCGCGACUUUCAUGACUACUACAGUACCUGGACAAUAGUUCUGAGUAGGCAGAUUUUUUCUGAUAUUUGCAGUGAUUUCAAGAUAGCUGGCUUCGCCACUGGGUGCGUGUGUCCGUGCUGCAGCGUGUGUGUGUGUGUGUGUGUGUUGUGUGUGCGCGUGUGUUGCUGAUGCGUGUUAGAGUUAUAAUAUAAGUCAUGUAUACCCCUUUGUAUUUAUCCCGUUGUAUAAGGGGUUUCCUGCAUAUGUA